CUCUUCACAAGGCCCAUUGAUUUUAGGCCCAAGUUCAUUAUGCCUACCAAUCUCAGACCCAUCUCACGUGAGCGCAAUCCACCAGACCAAAUUCCUUGAGCCUACCAGUUCAGUGAGGUACAAACUGAUCCUAGGUCAAUCGUCUUCCUCUUCCGUGUCGCCGCCUCAUGGAUUUUCUGCAAUCUGGCCAAGCACGUUUUCGUGCCUUCGAAGCUUCUCUGCCAACAAUCCUUCAUGAUCUGACAUCGUCUCACCGUGCUUUGUAGAGAUUAACUAAGUCUUCUCAUCUAAAAUCAAAAAUCGAUACUUCCUGUUCAGAUCUUAUUACCUGAAAAACUGGAUGUGAGCGUUGAAUAGGGCCGAUCUGAAAGUACAUCAUCUCUAGAACUUCAGUAACAUCUGAGAACUCAAAUAAGUAGCUUCUUUGAUAAAACCGACGCCAACUCAAAAGGAAAGUUCCAGGAAAAAUGAAGCAAUCAAUUCCCUACCAGUCGAAUUAAAAAAUGAUAGGACGUUCACGGAAGCAAGCCAGUCGUUGGAUCUAUCAAUGAUAUCCUGAUGCUACCCAAAGGAAAUAGCUGGAGCAACCACCAUCUGACACUUUCCAAUCUGAGCCCGAAUGAAAUCAAAGAGAUAUAUGGCACACGGCUUAUUGGAGAAGACCAAGCUCGUGGGCUUGUUGGUCUAAUGGAUUUCUUUUGUUCAAUGAGGUUUGUAAGUUUCCCUGCCCCAUUCCAGUUCUAUGUUAUGUCAUUCAUGAACAACCAAUGAGAAAUAUACAUAUACUGGUGAAGAAA